rnacentral:lncRNA from 1 species
AUCUGUGGUUAGUCAAGCAUACUUGGCUGAAGGAAAGAAUGAUCUAUCUCUCAACUUCUAGAGUAGGAAUAACACAAUUCAAUAUAAAUUCAUAUUUCCAAUGAGGUCAUGUUGCUGAAUGUUGGAGAUGUAGGCAAUGCUGAUCCAAGCUUUCUCCUUUCUCCUUUAAGCAAUUUUGUCUCACAACAGGAGAAUUCUGGAUUUCAAGCACUAACUGUUGCAUUCAGCUCUUCCUUCAGCAAAAAGGACUAAAGCUUAGGACAACUUGAGAUCAAUAGCACUUGAAGAAACUUUCAGCAAAAAUUAAGGUUACCUGAAGUUAGAGGAACAAGUAGAAUGAAUUUUUUAUCUGUAAAAGCCUCGUGCACCAGUGCCACUCAUAGAGAGGCGUCUCAAGCUUCCCACAAUUGAACCCAAACUAAACAAUGGGGCCAAAACCCCUUCCAGAAAUUAAAGAACACCUGAACAAUCAAGGAUCAACCUUGAUACUGGAUGUAAAAAUGGAAAAGAAAAAAAUUAAUGAACAAGAGUAAAAUAUUUAAAAAUAAAUAAAAAAAGAAAAAUGGAAAAAUGUCGAGUUGUGAUAAGUUUUGAAAUGCAUUGUGUCUUUCUACAUGUGCAGAAAAAUUAGGGAGUUAAGAUUAUUAUUCUGAUGUUAAUGGAAUUAUGGGAGUAGCUUAAUAAUGGGCUGGUCUCUGCUUCCAUUUUUGUGAUUGAAAAAUAAAAUCCAAUUUGAAAUGGAUUCAUGUGUUAAAAACCUAACUAUUUCCCUCUACAUAGGGAUGUGAAAAUCUUAGGCCAAUCAUAUUUACAUGUUAAUUUAAAUAUUUGAGAAAUUAAGAAGCCAAUACCAUUCCUAUGGACUAAAACCAACUUCAUCAAAUUGUUGGAAUAGAAAUAAGCAAAUGUGUUUGAAAGAUUGAAUGAAAAAAUCAGGUCAGUUGGAACUAAACUAAGCAAGUGCAACUAGAAAUCUUCUUAAGAUCAAACUUAAGCCACAAUAAAAUUGUUGCAACUGAAUGAAUAAUUGAGAACAACAUACUAGCAUGUGAAUUUCAUCUGUAUGAGAUUUUUUGGCGUAAGGGUGGCAUGCAAAAGGAAAUAUGAUUUAAUUAUAUAGAAAGAAAAAUACGCUAGAAACAUUUUAGAGAACAAGGAAAUAAGAUAGAUGAGAAAAGAAAAUUCUCACAAUUUUAAAAUUUAGAUGAGAAAAUUUGAAUUGCUGAACAUACCUAGUUGAAAUUAAGGAAGGGAAAGUGAUCUAUGAUUCAAUCCAGCAUCCGAUAUCGACAGUUACCUCCUGGUUACAAAAUUGCAUUAAGAUAGAAAAAUGUAAAAUAAACAAAAACUCAAAAGUAAAAAUAAAAGAAUUUGGAACUAAGUUGCGAAUGGGCAUACUUCAACUACCUCUAGAUAUGCGGGGGAUGUGGGCGACGUUGGACCAAUAUUCUCCUCCCUCCUUUAAGUACCUUUCUUCUAUGGUAGGACAAUAGUUGAUGACAAGUUUUGUAAGUGUUGCAGGAAGCGGCCCUAAGGACCGGAGGUUAGGGCAAUAUGAGAUUCCUAGGGAUCGAAGAGAGAUGAGUUUGUGGAGAUCCAAGGAGGCUAGGGAUCCCAUUCGUCUGAUUCGUAGGCUGAUGAGAGAAAUGGGAAGAAGACACUCUUCAUCGGGGAAGGAAACCAUAUUUGGAAACAUGUUCCAAAUAGUCAAUUGAGAAAGAGAGGUGAGGGUGUUGAAGCCCCACUCAGAUAUGGGUGUUUUCAGAUUCAUACAGUCACCGAUCAAAAGUGAUUUUAGGUUAGAGGCCAAACCCUCUUCCGGAAAGGACUCCAAUCCUGGGCAUUCGGAUAUGGUCAGGCUGCGCAGAGAUUUGAGGUUUCUCAUCUGAUGUGUUAGAGAUUUAAGAUUCUCACAUCUGUCAAUUUGAAGGUAUUCGAGGUUAGGGAUGGACAAGCCUCUUUCUGGAAAGCACUCCAGACCUCCAUAAUCGUUUAUGCUUAGCUCCCGAAGGCUGUCAAGGAAUCCUUGUAGACUUUUCAGAUUUGGAUACUUCUCAAGUCGUAAAUGCACUAGUGCUGUACUGUUGGGUGACAUUUUCUCUGACACUGACUCCAAGUUUGUGCAUCCCGAAAUGGAAAGGUUCUUGAGAGUGGAAGGCAACUCCCCUGUUGGAAAGGAAUUGAGAAAGGAAAAAUUCUCUAUCCACAAAUAUUCAAGACAACAAGUGUUGCUGCUGGAGGUGGAAUUGUGGUGCAUCACCCCCUCUGGUAGUGACUCUAGACUUUGACAAUCCCCAAUAUGAAGCUUCUUGAGUGUGGUGGGUAGCUCACCAUUUGGGAAGCAUUUGAGAAAUGGAGAAUACCGAAUCGACAAGUCUUCAAGCGGACACGAGUUGUAGUUAUGAGGCAGCGAUUUUAGACCCCCACAAUAGAACAACUCAAGGCGUCUUAGCAUUGGUGGGAAACCCGAAUCAGGAAAUGACUCUAGUUUGGGGCAUCUCCAUAUCAUCAGCUCUUCAAGACGUGUGAGGGUUUGCAAUCCAUUCGACAGCUUUUCCAGAUUAGCACACCCUUCUAUUCUCAAUUUUUUAAGAUUGCAAGGCAGCCAUUGCUCCUCCCACAAACAUGUCAGCCCAUCACAAUUGCAUAUCUUCAAUUCUUGCAAGGCUACCAAGGAUCUAGUAAUUCCGGUCCUCAAACAUGUCAAUCUUGAAAUCUCGAUGAGAUUUACAGUAACGAGGGAUGGAAGAUCAAACUGAGCACCUCCCAAUACUGCCUCAUCACAUUCUUUUAAAUUUAAUUCACGGAGAGAGAGAUGCAAGUUUUGGAAGCCCACACAUCAAUCCCGGACAUUCUGACACUUCAAGCUCUACUAGGGACUGCAGGCAUUUCGGUAAUUCCCCAAUCAGUUUUGGACAUUCCCUUAUCAAAAACUUUUCAAGAUGGGGAAAUGUUCCCACAUCUUCCUUGAUGAAAUUAGAAUGAGACCAAUUUUCCCAUUCUGGCAUAUCCUCAAACCUCAACUCCUUCAAAGAUGCAAAAGGAUUCAUACUCUCUCCAUAAAAUUCAGCACCUAUGCUUUUAACUUGGCUCAUACCUUCAAUACACAAAACCUUGAGCACCGAUAGUCCACCCAGAUUUGGUAAUAACACGGAUUUUUUGCAAUUUUUGAGAGUUAGUUCCACCAUUACUGAGAAUGAGGGAUAUCCUAACCAACUUGGAAAUUUGGAUCCACCAUAAAAUGCAAUUGUGAGCCUUCUUAAAUUUUCACGAGGCUGCAGGGACUCCAAGACACGUAAUUCACGUUUAUCGUUUCGUGCAUCCCAACAACAAUAACGACUCCACUCCAUGGUCAACAAGACACGCAAUUUUUACUUAAGAAAACUAACUUGUUAAGUCUUAGGAAAAUCAAAUUUUAAUUUUGAUUUUGAACCUCACGUUGAUUUUGAUUAGUUUUAUGGGGCUCACCAAUUUGUGGGAAUGUGAGGCAUUUAAUAAAAUACUCUCCAACUUGUUGGUAUCAGCAUGGAGUUGUUGGGAGUGGUGAGGGCCCAGACAGGGUGUAAAAGAUGAAUUUGCGUGUAAAAGAUGAAUUUGCAUUGUUGUUAGUGGACGUAUAUGUGGUGUUUAAAAUAAGAGAAAAGAAACGAAAAUGGUUUUUGUAAUACAAAUUGUACACUAGAAUAUCCAUGUUAUUAUUUAAUAACAUUGCUUGAAAUUUUUCAUAAGUCAUCAUAUAGUGGAUUUCCUUCUCCUCUCUGCUCAUGAUUUUUUCUAUUUAAGGUUUUUCACAUAAAUUUAUAUCUUUUUAUUCUAUUUUUUUUUCAUAUUGCCUAUUUUUGUUUUUCCAUGGUAGUAUUAAUAUUAAAUAAUUUCAAACUAUAUAAAUUUCAAACUAAUUUUAAUUAUAUUUUAUUUUCUUUCAUAUUUUUCAUAGUAAAACUAAACAUAAGAAAACUAUUUUUCUUAGUAUUUUUUCCUUAAUACUUUCUAGGAACCAAACAUAAUAAUAACCUUAUUUAAGUGCUUUUCUAUUUCACAACUAAUUGACACUGACUUUUGGGUGUAAAUGUCGUCUAGUCCAUCGCUCAAGCAUCAGGUGUGAUUAAUCAUUUGUUCAAUGCCCGAAAACUUCGAUUGGGUUGAUUUGUUUGUCUAAAAGUCCUAGUCAGCUUGGUCUGUUCAUUCCAUCUGGCAUUGUAGAAGAAGGAAAUCUUCUCACCUCUUACACCAGACGGAGCUUAUCUUGGCCCAAAUAAAGUGAUCCUAGACAGAUUAUCUACUUACCUUGGCCGACCAAAGGGUCUUAAGUUUGGGGAGGCCACGUGGAGGCAAGCGCUCCCUACAAUGCCCUCUAAUUUGUUUGCUAUGCUCGAUCGGGUAGCUGACUGGUUGAGGUAGGACGAAUUAUCUGUUUUUUCAAGUUUUUGGGCACCAAGGAAUGCGUGUCAUUUAGGGUUUUAAUAAUGUGUCACAUCAAUCAAGGCUAGUUGUUCAACGGUGUGUCUCUUUAUUUGGCUUUGGAAAGCAUUGCCAGGCGACAUGUCCCUUGGAGUGCCUAGGUUUUUUGUUCCCUAUAAAUAGUAAAGCUCCACACUUUUGGGUCACCUUUUCACUUUCUCCCGUUUCAGAGUUCUCUUGCCUGUGCUGCUCUUUCCCUGCCAUUGGUCUUGCCACCAGCUAUUCUUUUUUGCUUUCAUCACCGUUGUCAACUGGUUUGCCACCGUAGGAACUCUUAUUCGCUAGAGAGCGUCUUCAGUUUUGGUUUUGGUAAGUUUUCUACCGUCUGUUCGUUCCUUUGUUGUGUUUGCAAUUGUUCCUUGGGUUGUAUUAUUCUUGUUUGUUUAGAGAGAAAAUGGACAUACCGAUGUCCAGAUUCUAGAUUUUUCUUUUUGUGUUUUCUUGAUCGUUCUUGUUGCUUAUUUGGGGGAGGAAACAGGUGUACCGAUAUCCAAAUCUAAGGUUUUUCAGUGUCCCCGCUUGCUUCUAUGUCGUCAUUGUGUUUAUGUCAUCGGUUCAUGCUUUUUUGUUGUCAUCACGUUGGGGCGAUGGGCAUGACUCUUCCUUUAUCAUUGGCCAAGAGACUUGCUUUGCAAGUUUCGAUAGCCAAAUUCGUCUAGGUUCGGACUAUGGUCUGUCUAGGCACAUUUUUGUAUUGUUGAAGCAACGCUGAAAGGCGGAUUGGCCAACGCAGGUUUCUAUAUGACCCAAAUCCACUUAGUCUAAUGGAAUAAGGGGAAGUUGUUUCUACCAGCGGAAGGCCUCAACAAAGUGGACAGAAAAAUACUAGAGUCGGGCACCUUAGACCGAACCGUCCAGUUGCUGUCUUAUCCAAGCAAAAAUUUCAAGCUCGUUUUCACAUUAUGGACACUAUCUUAAUUCAGUUAACUAAUGGUGAGGCUCUAUUCUCUGCUAACCUUCCGAACUACAUGAUGUAUUUCACCAAGGAGUGGUUUGCUAAUGGGCUUUGUUUACCCAUUCCUUCCUUCUUCAAACAAUACCUUCAUUUCACGCAAAUCCUCCCAACUUUUCUUCAUCCGAAUAUUGUCCGAUUAUUGAUAGGGUGUAGCGUGUUGGAUAUGCUCUUCCAAUUGGAUCUUUCCCUAUUGGAAGUCUCGUUCAUCUAUACUCUGAAAAUGAGCCAAAAUGAAAGGUUCAGCUUAUCCGCCCAUAUUUCUUCCCUCCAACUAGUGAUUGGUAUUCCAAAUUCAUGUAAAGGCUAGGUCAAGGAGCAUGUUUUGGUGUCUGAGCCUUAGAGUGGUUCAUAUGAUGGUCCAGACAGAGUUUUUUCUCCACAACGUUCGUUGAAGAUUCCGAGUAAGCUAUGCUUUUGUCACUUUCUUUAUACCUUGCUAUUAUUUCCUCUUUUUUGUGAAUCUACUCACGAUCUUUCUGUUCGUCUAAUGCAGGUAAGGAGAGGCAGGAACACAUUGUAAAGUGGGUGGAAAAGGCUUCAUUUGCCCAUCUAAACAAGUUGUUCGAAAUAGACGUUGUUGAAUGGGCUUACAAAGUUCUCGUCUUGGACAAAAACCUUUUGGCACUGAUUGGCAGUCCUAAGUCGUUUAUCAUUCUUAUGUUUCCCUGGCUAACCCCUUCGUCUCUGGUGCUUGGUGAACACUUCGUGCUAAAGGAUUUGCCUUUCUACGAAGUUGCUCGUUUGGCAGAUUCUGAGGCACGCUAGGCUCGUUAAGAGGAACGGGAGAAAAAACGCCAAGAAGGGACAUUGAGGCAAGUGCCAGUUGCUAGACGUUCGUUUUCCAACUCCGUUGUCCGUCCACCUGCUUAGAAAAAGAAAAAGACUAUGGCUCGUCCUAUUCAAAAGGCGAGGACUCCACCUCCUGUCUCCCCAUAUUCAUCGUCAGCUUCAUCUUCUUCUUCCUCUAUGUCUUCUUCAUCUUCUAGAAACAAACCAGAAGCAGGGGUUAUGCAACCUAUGCCUCCUAUUAUUUGUGAAGAAGAGGAAGAGAAGGAGGACAUGGCUUCCAACUUGAGGACCAGAUUCCACAAGAGGCACCGUAAGCGUCUGUCCGAAUCCAUUACUGUCAUUCCUUCUCUUUCGAAGAAAGCCUGCCUGGAACCUACCCUAAAUCCUCCGUCCAAGUCAACAUUGUUGACCACUACUGUAGUUGUCACUUCAAAAUCGAAUAAGAAAUCUCCCUUUGUUGAAUGCUGAAUAUGGAGUAUUAUAUUGUUGUCCCAAUGCAUCACCACCAGUCACCAUUUGAACUCCAGGGGUUGCAUGGAUGAAUGCUGGAUUUCCUGGCCCCCCUUGCCAUGAUGCCGGAUUAACUGAAAUGAAACCAAUCACAAAAUUUGAAUGAUCCUCAGCAAUUUUUGCUGCUGCAGUUGUGUAGUCUCCCUUGGCAAGGUUACCAGAAGAACUCAUUUCUGCAACAAGCAACAGGCCCCUACCACGAGGCAAACCCUACAAACAUUGCAAGAGUAAUAAGAAAUUAGAGAAACAAUAGUUCUAAGGCUUUUCUACAAGUCCAGACUAAUAUUAGGUUAAACUAUUAAUGCAAACCUUCAGUUUCAGACCAUCCACAAUUCCAGGACCAGAGAUUAUGUGAGCAUUAACUAUAUCUGCCCAGUCCAAUAUCCGAAAGAUACCUCUGCAAAUAGUAGUGCCAAGAGCUGUUAAGAAAAUGUAAGAAAAGCAACAGAAAAAGAAAUUAAGACAUACCAGAUGCAAGAAAAGUGAGACUCACCCUUCAUACUGCAUGGUCACUGUGUUACCAAUGUCAGCAAACUUACGAUCUUCAAAGAUUAAGAAGUUAUAUCUCUCUGCAAUCUUCAAAAGGAUUAAACAUAGAAUCAACAAUAACUUAACAAUAACUACAAUAAGACUACCCAAUAAGCUAAUGACAAAACUCAAAACUUUGGAACUGCUAUUGCAUAAGGAACAUUGAUGCCUGACAAUUCAAAGACAAGGAAAGCAAAUAGAGAAUAUCUAUGCUUACAGGCCUAUUCUUUCUAUCAGAGCCUUUUUUUUUUUUUGGUUUUGUUUUAGGUAAAUCUUUGUCCCUACUAGGACUUGAACCUAGCACCUCCCACAAACCCUCCCCAUCCCUUUACCACUUGGGCCAGGCCUCAAGGGCUUCUUUUUAUCAAAGCUUAUAAGCCUAAUUUAAUUCCAAAAGAGAUGAUACAAUAAAAAUAAUGAAAAUUUCCCCUAAAUAAUGCUAUAUGGCCUAUGGGAAACAGAGAAAGAAAGCUUUUCCAUGUUAACCAUUUUAACAAUAUAUGAAAACAAAGAAGAUUUCCAAAUGCUACAUCCCAUUAACUAAAAAGAUAAAUCAUUUCUCUCUCUAUUUGCUACUUUAUACAUGUCAAGCUACAUGGCUUCCAUAAGAAGACAUGAAAAUGGAUAUUAUUUAGCAAAUUUAUUAUGGUAAAGAAAGAUUGAGUUUAAUUGAGAACAAUAUGAGUUAAGAGGUAAACUGGUAAAGAGAGGUCUAUAGUGAUCUUAUGUUUUCAGAACCUAUCAUCCAAACUGAAUGUGGAAGCUAUAACUUUUAACAUAUUUUCAGGUUGAGAGUGGGAAAAUGUCAAGGAGGCAAUGGUGGACUGUGGAAAGUGAUCAAGAGAUGAGGUUCGCAAUUGUGCAUCGUUUCGGUAUCUUGUUUUAUGAUGAUGUUCUGAGAUAUAAUUCAUAAGGGUACUAUAAAGCACUUUCAGACUUUUCAGAAAACUGAACCUUCUCCAUUUUUAUGAUUAUAGGGCAGGAAGAAAAGUUUUCAGGGUGAAUUAUUGCAUUGACAUUUUUUUUAAUUAGUUGCCAUUAUAUAAAUGGGUCACCCACCUCAACCCCAUUUCUUGUGCCCUUAAUCUAUUUGAUUAAUCACUGACAAAAAAAAUUUCAUUGCCACCAAAUUUAUGUGCAUGUGCGUGUGCAUGUUAGGAAUAUAUAUAGAUCACCAAUCCAAUAAAAGAAUAUACAUACAUACACACAUACAUGUAUAUAUAUAUAUAUUCAGGGCAGGUCUCCUGUACCAUUGAAUUUCAAUGAUGCCAUAAUGUAGCCCAUCAUUCAAAAUGGGGCCAUUAAAGAAAUGUGAGGCAUCAACAGCAUUGCUGGUAUAGGAUUGAUUAGUAGGAUUCCACAAAAUGGCGUCAAUUCAAACCUUUACCAUCAUUAGUGAUAUUUGGACCCCCUUUAAAAUGGGGGGCAAUUUAGUUCUUCAAGUUUUAUGCGAAGCGCAAUAGAACAGUCCAAUGCAAUGUGGAAAAAUUUUGCUCACUACAUGCAGUAGAUAAUCUGUGCAUGCUACAACUAUCCAUAAUGCAAAGAAACAGAGUGCUCAUCUUGUACAAGGCAAACUCAUUCCAAACAGUAAAAUAUUCAAAAAGAGAAAACAAUAAAAACCUGGUCAAAGGAAACUUAAAGUAUAUCCAUACCGAUCGAAGUUUGGAACCAAAAUCGGGGGUGAAAUCCGGGAAUAUGUCUACAUGGGUUUUCAAUAAGCAGAUCUCUGGCCCAACCUGCAAGAAUAUCCAAGGCAGCAUCAGCAACAACAGGUAACUUUUAGCCUAGUAGAUUCUACAUUUCUUUUCAAAUAUUCUCCUCACCAAAAUGCUGUACUAUGUUGUGAACUAAACAUUACAAUUUUAACUUGAAAAUUUUAUUUGAGGAUUUUCUCCUAUUUCACAAUAUUAACUUGAAGAUAACAACAUGAGCCACAAAAAAUGGAAACUCAAUCUUCUAAUUUCAAUGUCAAUGCCACAGCAGGUGUUCCGCCAAUCUUAAAUUCACAUUUUCAGGAAGAUCCAACUGAAAUCAACAUGUCAUAGGCUUGAACAUCAAAAGCCAAGGGCAGGCUGAAACGAUAUUUUGGACAAGAAAUUCACGUCCAAUGUAGGCUCGAAUACCAAAAUCUGGGCCAAGCCGAAAAACUGGUUGGGCCUAAAACUUUAUGGCCAACCAGGCUGAGCCCAAAAAUAGUUCAGGCAUCUUUUGGGCACUCUGAUCAAACACAGCUCAAAAGCAAGUGGGACCAAUCUGGGGAGAGUGGCUCCAGAGCAGAUGCUUAUACUAUGAUCAGAGCAUGUCACGGCCCCAGUAGAAUUAACAUUUCCCCCUACUACACAUCUCAAAACCUAAGGGAAUGAUAAAAUACCCAAUACCUUGCCUAAAGAUAUUCUUAUAUUCAAAUACCUAAGCCACGUGAAAAGGUGAAAAAUAUAAAUUAAUUUCUCAUUUUCUCUGUUUGGUUGCUGAGAAAAUACAAUAAAAGAACAGGAAAGACUCAUCUCUUAAUGAUUUGGGACCUCAAAGCACUCCAAUCUUCUAUCACCUAAGCUUGAUUCAACUUCAGAUUUUUUCACUUCAAGCCAAACAAAUAAUGCUUGUUUGAAGAUUUUACCAAGAAACCAAAAAACAUUAAAAAAAAUUAAAAAAGAACAAAAUUUUGUGUAGCCGAACUUGACGGCAGAAAUUUCAUGGAGCUUCAGGAUGAGAGACUCCAUUGAUGAUGAUGCUGCCGAGCUUGUCAUCCCUUCACCCUCUUCAAUCGCCUGUGAGGAGAAGAAAGACUCAUGUUUGGUGUAGCCUUUAAAGCACCGAGGGCAUCCAAAUUUUGUGAAUAUUUUAUAUAUCUAUCAAAAAUUAAAUUAUUAUUUUAUCUGAAAAAAAAAUUAUUCCAAAAUUUCUAAAAUAAAUAUUUAAAUUAUUUUAUUUUUUAUCAAGAAAUAUUAUAAAAUAUAAAAAUAUUUUCUGUUCUUCAUAUUUAACUUUGGUUUGUCUCUUUUUAGUUAAUUAAUUUUUUAGCUUAAUUGUUAAAAAUUAAAAAAAAUUUCAAAUCUUCUCCAUGGAAGAUAAGAAAUUUAUUUAUUUAUAUUAAUCAAUUUAAUUUAAAUCAUCAUUAAUAUUUUAAUAAUUAAAUAUUAUAUAAUUUAAUCUUUUUAUUUUUAUAAGUAAAGUUACGUAUCAAAAAUUUAAAUAAGUCUAUAACUUAGAUAGAUUGGUCAAAUUGAUGGAUAACUCGAGUCUAACUCGAAUUACAAAACAAUUAAUUCAAAUCCAACUUAACCCAACCUAAUCGCUAUCUCAAGGUAUUCAAUGUAAGCCCACCUCAAUUUUAUUUUUCUAAAUUUGGAUUGAAUUCGGAUUUGUUAAAUUAAACCCGAGUCAGUUGGAUUGAUUGGAUUACAUGUUUCAAAAUCUACUUAUAGUGAUUUUUAAAAAACAUUUAUAUAUAUAUAUAUAUAUAAAUUUAGAUAUUAAAUAAGACAAAAUUUUUAAAUAACAAUAAAAAAAAUAAAUUAAAUUAACUUGUAUAUCUUUCUAAAAAAUUGAAAAAGUAUAUGAAUAUAAUUAUAACUUGAUAUCUUUAAAAUUUAAAGAUAAUAGGCAUUAUAAAUAUAAUAAAAAAAAAUAAAUUGGAUUAAGUUCAGGUUAUUUGAAUCUUGACUUGAGCCUAACCUAAAUUGAAAUUGGGUUGAAAAAACUUAACCCGAGUUUAACCUUGAUAUUUGUCUAAACUCACUUAAACAUUGAGUUGGACCAUAUCAACCCACCCAAAUUCCACCUAAGGUGAAUUUAUCACAUCAAUUUAACUUAAUCACUUUUAAGUUUGUAUUAAAGUUUAGUGGUUUGAGAAGUAUUUUAUAAAAAAUGAUAUCUAUUAAAUAGUAUUUGAAAAUCACUUUUAAGCCAUUUUCAAGAUUUUAAAAAGCAUUCCAAGUCUUUCCGAACCACUCCUCAAUUUUUCUACUAUAGAGUGUGGGUUCAAAGUGACUUUUAUGGCUAUCAAAAUAUCCUAUGAAAAUCAUGUUUUAAAUAAAUAUUCAAAAUAAUAACAAAUUUAUUAGAAAUUAUAUUUUGAAACUUCGAAUUUAACACAAUGGAUUAAUUGCUUUGUUUGGAAAUUGUAAUUUAAAAUUAGAACUUUAAUAUAAAAAUAGUGUUUUAAAAAUAAUAUUUAAAAAUUUUUAUUUUUAAUUUGAAUUUUUUAAUUAUGAUUUAAAAUUAAUUAAAAAAAAUGUUACUUGCAUUUUUAGGGUAUUCGCUAACAAAGUCUAUCCACUUUCAAGGGUAAGGCUUUCUAGUGGCCACUUCAAUGGAGGAUUGCAUUUUCUUUUGAGAUUUACUCAUAUUCAACAUUUCAUACAUUUUUCUUUAAAUAUUCUAUAUAAAAUGGAAAACUCUAUAAAUUUUAGUUUAAAAUUUAAUAAUUUUUAAAAAUAGUUUAAAACAAAUUAAAGUAUUAAAAAAAUUUAUUACCUAAAUCUUAAAAAAAAAUUAAAUAUAAUUUUUAAAGUCAUAAGGUGAGUUACAAUAAGAGCUAUUUUAUAUUAUAUUGAAGUUAUUAUUAUUUUUAUUUUAAAAAUAAAAAAUAGGAAAUAUAUUGGUUUUUUAUUAUAUUUUUGAGGAUAAGUGUGUUUAUUUAAUUUUUCAAAAAGAGAAAAAUGAAAACCGAAGUUAAGGGAAAUGUCAUUAGGAAAAUUGUGUUUCAUUCACUUAGAAAAAAAGAUUAAAAUUUUUAUAAAAAUAAUUCAAGUUUUAUGUACUCAUCGGUCAAAUGUAAUAUUUAAGAUGAUCAAAUGUAGUAAUUAUUUCUUUAAAAUAUUGUAUCUAGUUAAAAGUAAUAGCUUUGAUCGAAAAAUGUACAAAAUCUUAAUUAUUUUUACACACAUGUAUGAAUUUUGAAUUUUAUAAAGUUAAGUUCUUAAUUAUGAUUUUUCUAAAAUAAGUGUGACUUUGAUGAUGAUGGCUUUUGACCAUGUAGUUGACACUAUGUGCAAAGCAAAUAAUUCAAUAUACAUGGAAUUUUCUCACAAGGUCAUGUUGUUGAAUGUCAAAGAUGUAGGCAAUGCUGAGACAGAAUUCCUCAUUUCUCCUUAAAAACACCUCUGUCUUAGGAUUUCAACCAUUGGGUGUUGAAUGUCACCCAGGUAUGUGGUGAAGAAACUUACACAUUCGCUAUAUUUAUGAGAAGACAUCAUAAUGGUCAAUUCUUACAUAGAAUUGGGGCGUUUCCAGGUUGUGACACCUUCCAACAACAAGUGAUGUUAGGUUGGGGGGCAAAUCCCCAUAUCCUUAGCCCUUUAAGAGAUUUGAGGCUUCUCAUUUGGAAUGGCAGGGAUUUCAGAUUCUCACAACUGUUAAUUUGAAGUUGUGGGAGGUUGGUUCUCAUAUCCUUGGGUUUGAUACACCUCAUUUCUAAAUUAACAUAUAAAUAAAAUAUAUAUUUUUUAAUUUUUCUUUCCAAACAAGAAAAAAGAAAAGAAAACCUAUUUUACAUCUUGACUAAUCUAACCUCAAAUUAAUUUCAUGACAUUACACCUUUUUUAAGUUAAUCAUUAUAAGUGAUUUCGUUUACAUAUUUUAAUUACAAAAUUUGUUUGAAGUACAAUAUUGUACAAAGUAAAUGUGGAAAAAAAAAGCCUUAAAAAACAUAUUAAGUGACUUCUGUCCAAAGAAAAAGAAAAAAUAUUAAAAAAAAAAGAAAGAAGAUGUUUUCAUGCCUUAUUUUAUUAUAUAACAUAUGAAAGAAAUCAAAUAAAAUUAAAAUUAGUUAAGAAUUUAUAUAUUUUUAAAUUAUUUAAUCUUUAUAUAUAAAAAUUAAAAUAAGUUAAAUGAGUUGAAGUAGCGUUUUUAUUUUUAUUUUAUUUUAUUUUAAAUGAGUUGAAGUCAAACAAAGCCUAAAAGUUUAAGAAUACCAAGAGCUAACAUGAGAGGUGGAAUUGACUAAUUCAAAAUUAUUUUGGCUUGAUCGAUAGAACCCUUGUUUAUUUGGGGAAGUUUCUUCCUCUAUAGAAUUUUGCAAAUCAAGCACAUUCAUAUCAGUCCCUUCAUUUUGCAUAUCUUCAAAAUCACUUUGUCAUUCCAUCAUUAACUCUUCAAUGUUCUCCUUUCUCUUUAAAUUAGCAUCCAUCAAUCAGAUAUCGUCUACUUUAUUAAAAUAUUUAGGCUCCAUUUCUUGCAUGACGUUCCAAGGAGGCUAGGGACUCCAUCAUCCGGAUUCCAAGAGAGGUGAGAGAUGUAAGAAGAAGACACUCAUCAUUUGAAAGGAAACCAUUUAUGAGAGAACAUCUCGAAUACGCAAUGACGAAAUAAGCUUGGGACUUACGUGUUAACACAAAAAACAUUUUAUAUCAUUUUUUUAUACAUUAUUUUCUCUCACUAGCAUAAGUAACUUAAGAAGCACUAAAAAGACAGCUAUAUUUUGGGUUAAGCUUCCAAUUGUGUUGAUUGCUGGAGUUGAAGUUCUGGUUGCACUUAGACAUGUACGUUUAUGGUUUCAUUUUAAGUUGUGUCAUCACCCCUUCAUCCUCUAAGACAGAAAAGUUUGACACAAGAAAUGGACAUUUGUGAAAGUAAUGAAAUUAAAGGUACACCAAGAUUUACGUGGAAAACCCUCCAAUGAUGAGGGAAAAACCACGGGCCGAUAUAGAAAUAAUCCACUAUGGUAAAAAGGAAAUUACAAUAUUCUCACAAAUUUCUUUUUAAAAAGAAAGGAAAAAAAACUUGAGGUAUUACAACUUUUAAGGAAAUAAAAAUGUUCAAAUCACCAUACUAGAAAACCAAAUCCUACAAAAACAUCUGCUACUAAUGUUUAAGGAGAAAACAAACUUCACAUUUCUUACAUUCUACACUAAGCACCGAAACCAAAGACGGUUGAUUUUUCUUGAGCCACUACAAAUGUAAAAGCACAACAUUGACGUCCUUAAGUUGAGUUCUUCUUGGAGAGCCAUAAGCGUCAAAAUUCCUUUCAUUUUUAUGCCAUCAACUAGCAGAAAAGUCAUUGCAUGGCAAAUCCAUCAAGCUUCUACCACCUACCACCUUAUAUUCAGGAAGUACCCAAAAAAAAGGAAAAAAGGGUUAGCCCAACUUAAUAGAAUAUGGCUAACCCAAGCAUUGCAAAUGUGAUCAUUGCCCCCAAUGUGAAAUGCUUGUCAACACUCACAUAUACACAAACAAUGAACUAUAAAAGUGCUCAUUGAAAUUCUAAUUAAGAAACACUUGAGCUGGUGGUACAAAUACAAUGGCAUGAAAAUAUGACUUACACAACAAAGAAACCUACGAAUUCUACUCAACAAACAAAAAGGAAAACCAUCAACUAUGAUUGAGUCAAUAAUAUACCGUCAUACUUUUGUUAGGAACUUAGUCUGCCACUGCAUCAUUUUUCUCCCGCCUACAUGUAGAAAAUAAGUUUCUAUUAAUUAUAGAUGCGAAACCCCAUAUUUAGACCAAGAAAAAACAGACUUAAGCAUCUGUGGUUAGUCAAGCAUACCUAGCUACAGGAAAGAAUGGUCUAUCUCUCAACUUCUACUGUAGGAAUAACACAAUUCAAUAUAAAUUCAUAUUUCCAAUGAGGUCAUGUUGUUGAAUGUUGGAGAUGUAGGCAAUGCUGAUCCAAAUUUUCUCCUUUCUCCUUUAAGCAAUUUUGUCUCACAAUAGGAGAAUUCUGGAUUUCAAGCACUAGCUGUUGCAUUCAGC